UAAUGCCGGAUGUUCCACAUGAUCGCAUGUGAUUGUGGGAAAGAUUCUAUCGGCGUGGGAUGGGGUCGCGUCCUAUCAGCUUGUUGGUGAGGUAACGGCUCACCAAGGCUUCGACGGGUAGCCGGCCUGAGAGGGCGACCGGCCACAUUGGGACUGAGAUACGGCCCAGACUCCUACGGGAGGCAGCAGUGGGGAAUAUUGCACAAUGGGCGCAAGCCUGAUGCAGCGACGCCGCGUGAGGGAUGGAGGCCUUCGGGUUGUAAACCUCUUUUGUUUGGGAGCAAGCCUUCGGGUGAGUGUACCUUUCGAAUAAGCGCCGGCUAACUACGUGCCAGCAGCCGCGGUAAUACGUAGGGCGCAAGCGUUAUCCGGAUUUAUUGGGCGUAAAGGGCUCGUAGGCGGCUCGUCGCGUCCGGUGUGAAAGUCCAUCGCUUAACGGUGGAUCUGCGCCGGGUACGGGCGGGCUGGAGUGCGGUAGGGGAGACUGGAAUUCCCGGUGUAACGGUGGAAUGUGUAGAUAUCGGAAAAGAA
rnacentral:rRNA from 1 species